rnacentral:rRNA from 1 species
UACGGAGGGUGCAAGCGUUAAUCGGAAUUACUGGGCGUAAAGCGCACGCAGGUGGCUGAGUCAGUCGAUUGUGAAAGCCCUGGGCUUAACCUGGGAAUUGCAGUCGAUACUACUCAGCUAGAGUAUGGGAGAGGGUAGUGGAAUUCCCGGUGUAGUGGUGAAAUGCGUUGAGAUCGGAAGGAACGCCCGUGGCGAAAGCGAGGUCCUGGACGUUUUCUGACGCUGAGACGCGAAAGCCAGGGGAGCGAACGGG